GAACUCUGGCUUGGCAGCAUGUCCUGGGAGUGUGGAGGUGUGCGAGUUGCUCUCAAAUGCCUGCAGUUUCCUUGCUGACCUCCUAAGAGCCAAAAGGGGAAGAGACAUGAGCCCCUGAGAGGAAGUGGAGCUGUGCUGGGCAGAGAGGACGCGCAAGCAUCAGAAGGCAUUCUUGCCAGAGCGUGGACGUUAGCCAGUUAAUCCCACUAGAACAUGUGUUGCCACACCUCCGCACGGCGGGUGCAUUUUGCCCGUGUAGACUGACUUACGGAUCUGCUGCCCAUCUCCCUGCUGGACUCUAAGCCUCUCAAGGCUGUUCCAUUCCUCAGCCGGCCUGCAUGGGAGGUGGUCGUAAACGUGUGUUGAAAGAGUACAGAUAGCUCCUUUCCGCGUGCAUUUUAGCUACUGAGGCUGUUGCAGGAGGAAACCCAGUGAAUGGCAUUGAGAGAUGGUUGCCACCGUGUCAUCUGCACCCCUAGUCUGGACGAGGCCAGAGCAGGCACUUCUCCGUCUCAGGGCCUGGAGGAGCCGGGCGCACUGCAUCUCGUUUGCCGCCAUGGUGCCUUCGCUCUGCCCCAGGAACUGACGCUGUUGCCCGUCCAUUUCAUUUGCUUGAGAACUUAGAUCCAGACUGUGGCCCCAUCGGGGCCCACGCGGGGCUUGAGCGUGUGCCGGAUGUUGCAGGGCGGCCCCUUCAGCCUUCCUUGUGCUUCCAUCUAAUCGCAGCGCUCUCCGGGAAAAAAUUGUAUUAUCCCGUUGUGCUUCAAAGCAGCGUCUAAGUGUUUCUUUUUAAGGAGCGUGUGUUCCUGUGUCUUACUGGGGUGGAGAGCAGGGGAACAGACAGGUGGGUCCAGCCUGGCGGGGCCAGAUGCUCCCCGGGGCACUCUGUGCCCAGGCUGGUGACAGCGGGUGGGCGUGUGGCUGCCCGGCCCACAGUGGGGGAGGCGGGGCAGCCCCUCCCUCUGGCUGCACAGAGCCCAGCGCUUUGUCUUUCAGGAGCGUGAG
ensembl:lncRNA